rnacentral:misc_RNA from 1 species
AGAACAUCUGCUAGAAAUUUCUGCAAUUCAAGAAAAUCUCAUUUGCAUGUGCUUUUCUGGCCAUGUUUCUAUCAUUGUCCUUGUGGACAUUGGGACAAGGGCAUCUCGACAUUAAAGACAAACCAAAAGCUGGAAGAAGGACGAGCUAAAGCACAAGCCUACAGGCUACAAGCCAUUCUUUAUCACCGAAGUUAUUACUCAUUUUGGGUUAUAAUUUAAAAAAGCUAAAAAGGAUCAUAGUGCAAACCUAUGGAAGAAAUCAAUGGCACUCCUCUU